UACGUAGGGGGCAAGCGUUGUCCGGAAUCAUUGGGCGUAAAGAGCGUGUAGGCGGCCUGGUAAGUCCGCUGUGAAAGUCCAGGGCUCAACCCUGGAAUGCCGGUGGAAACUGUCAGGCUCGAGUCCGGAAGAGGCGAGUGGAAUUCCUGGUGUAGCGGUGAAAUGCGCAGAUAUCAGGAGGAACACCGGUGGCGAAGGCGCCACUCUGGGCCGAAACUGACGCUGAGGAGCGAAAGCGUGGGUAGCAAACAGG
rnacentral:rRNA from 1 species